rnacentral:rRNA from 1 species
GAAGGUGUGUCGUGAGGCAUGCUGGAGGUAUCAGAAGUGCGAAUGCUGACAUAAGUAACGAUAAAGCGGGUGAAAAGCCCGCUCGCCGGAAGACCAAGGGUUCCUGUCCAACGUUAAUCGGGGCAGGGUGAGUCGACCCCUAAGGCGAGGCCGAAAGGCGUAGUCGAUGGGAAACGGGUUAAUAUUCCCGUACUUGGUGUUACUGCGAAGGGGGGACGGAGAAGGCUAUGUUGGCCGGGCGACGGUUGUCCCGGUUUAAGCGUGUAGGUGUGUGUUCCAGGUAAAUCCGGUUCACUUUAACACUGAGGCGUGACGACGAGGCACUACGGUGCUGAAGCAACAAAUGCCCUGCUUCCAGGAAAAGCCUCUAAGCAUCAGGUAACAUCAAAUCGUACCCCAAACCGACACAGGUGGUCAGGUAGAGAAUACCAAGGCGCUUGAGAGAACUCGGGUGAAGGAACUAGGCAAAAUGGUGCCGUAACUUCGGGAGAAGGCACGCUGACACGUAGGUGAAGUGAUUUACUCAUGGAGCUGAAGUCAGUCGAAGAUACCAGCUGGCUGCAACUGUUUAUUAAAAACACAGCACUGUGCAAACACGAAAGUGGACGUAUACGGUGUGACGCCUGCCCGGUGCCGGAAGGUUAAUUGAUGGGGUCAGCGCAAGCGAAGCUCCUGAUCGAAGCCCCGGUAAACGGCGGCCGUAACUAUAACGGUCCUAAGGUAGCGAAAUUCCUUGUCGGGUAAGUUCCGACCUGCACGAAUGGCGUAAUGAUGGCCAGGCUGUCUCCACCCGAGACUCAGUGAAAUUGAACUCGCUGUGAAGAUGCAGUGUACCCGCGGCAAGACGGAAAGACCCCGUGAACCUUUACUAUAGCUUGACACUGAACAUUGAGCCUUGAUGUGUAGGAUAGGUGGGAGGCUUUGAAGUGUGGACGCCAGUCUGCAUGGAGCCGACCUUGAAAUACCACCCUUUAAUGUUUGAUGUUCUAACGUGGACCCGUUACCCGGGUUGCGGACAGUGUCUGGUGGGUAGUUUGACUGGGGCGGUCUCCUCCUAAAGAGUAACGGAGGAGCACGAAGGUUGGCUAAUCCUGGUCGGACAUCAGGAGGU